ACCUACGGCCACACAACAGAGAAUACACCGGAUCCCGUCUGAUCUCCGCAGUUAAGCUCUGUCUGGCAUGGUCAGUACUACGGUCGGGGACGACGUGGGAAUACCAUGUGCUGUAGGUA
rfam:Lichtheimia corymbifera JMRC:FST:9682, FST 9682, WGS project CBTN01000000 data, contig: SCAF00210